rnacentral:rRNA from 2 species
GACGAACGCUGGCGGCGUGCUUAACACAUGCAAGUCGAACGGGAUUUAGUAGACAGAAGCCUCGGUGGAAGAUUACUAAUGAGAGUGGCGAACGGGUGAGUAACGCGUGAGCAACCUGCCUAUGACAGUGGGAUAGCCUCGGGAAACCGGGAUUAAUACCGCAUAAAAUCGUAGAAACACAUGUUUCAACGGUCAAAGAUUUAUCGGUCAUAGAUGGGCUCGCGUCUGAUUAGCUAGUUGGUGAGAUAACAGCCCACCAAGGCGACGAUCAGUAGCCGGUCUGAGAGGAUGAACGGCCACAUUGGAACUGAGACACGGUCCAAACUCCUACGGGAGGCAGCAGUGGGGAAUAUUGCACAAUGGGGGAAACCCUGAUGCAGCGACGCCGCGUGAACGAAGAAGGUAUUCGUAUCGUAAAGUUCUGUCCUAUGGGAAGAUAAUGACAGUACCAUAGAAGAAAGCUCCGGCUAAAUACGUGCCAGCAGCCGCGGUAA